UAUUAAUAAACCUUCUUGCACUACCUUAGUUUAUAAAUAGUAGUGCAGCCCUUUGUACAGUUCGGGAAAAAGUAGUAAUACACUCAAUUUCUUCAUAAUCAUUUGGGAAUAGAUAGUUUUAUUGUUCUCUAAUAUUCUUGGCAACACUUUUCUGUUCACUCUUUCUUAAUCGUUCUGUUCUUAUUAUUCAAUAAUCUUCACAUGGUAUCAAGAGUUUGAGAUCCUUGGUUUUCUUUUCUUUCUUUUCAAUGGCCUUUACCAUUGCUGAUUCAUCUUUAAACUCCAAACCCCUUCUUUAUCCAAUCCCAGAUAAGUUGAAUGAAAACAACUUUUUUACAUGGCAGCAGCAAGCACUAUUUGCAAUCUUUGGUCAGAAUCUUUAAAACCACAUCCAACCCAAUCAGCAACCACCUCAAUUUGCCACUGAUGCUGAUAGAGUUGCAGGCACUGUUUCGACAGCAUACACUGAUUGGAAUCUGCAGGCUUACAAUCUAGGUUCAUGGCUUUUAGCAUCAAUGGAUGUCUCUUUUUGGAAUCAGAUGGUGCAUUGCUUCUUCAACCAAGAUCAAAUCUAAACAUUUCAAAUAAGAACUCAAGACUAUCAAGAAAACUAAUCUUUCUGCUUCUCAGUAUGUAGCAAAGAUCAAAGGAAUAGUUGACUCUCUUGUAGCAAUUGGAGCUCCAAUCUCACAUAAUGAUCACAUAGAAGCUCUAUGUGAUGGUCUUACCGAACAAUAUGCUCCCUUUGUUAUUACUGUGAAAGCAAAAUCAGAUAUGUACACAAUCAAUGAAGUGGAAGCUCUUCUAAACAAAAUUCUUCAACUCUUGCUCAAGUGAAUUUAGCUCAGUCUUCACCAUCUGCUCCAAUUUCUUUUGGCAGAGGCAAUUAUGGUGGUAGAGGAGGAAGAUUUAACAGAAGGAGAAGAGGCUCUUGGCGAUUAGGAAGUAGACCUUUCAAAUCCUCCUCCACCUCCCAGCUCCUUUCAUCAACCUUCUUCAUACCUAACUACACCUUCUAGCAUCUUUGAAUCUUCAUGGUGCCCAGAUUCGGGUGCUUCACAUCACUUGACUAAUGACCCUGCAAAUCUCUCUUCUGCAUCAGAUUAUCAAGGAUCUGAUCAGUUAUAUGUUGCUAAUGGCACAGGUUUGCAAAUUUCACAAAUUGGAAUGACAUAUCUCACUAACUUUGAAAACAAUAAUACUUUUGUUUUGAAAAACAUUCUUCAUAUUCCCCAAAUCACUAAGAAUCUCAUUAGUGUAUCUCAAUUUUGUUUAGAUAAUAACGUUUAUUUUGAAGUCCAUCUGUUUGUUUGUCUUGUUAAAUCACAGGUUAUCAAAGACAUCCUUCUAUAGGGACAUCUUAGAAAUGCCCUCUAUGAGUUUCAAGGCCUCACUUUAAACAAACUUGUUCAUAAUAUUUCUGCAUAUCAUGCUUCUGUAAAUCAAUGUAAUCUUGCAAUUAAAAUUUGGCAUCAAAGGCUUGGCCAUCCUUCCAAUUCUGUUGUUAAAGCUGUGAUGCAAUCUUGUAAUGUUCCUUUUAACAUCAAUAAGAAUGAUUUUUUCUGUAAUGACUGCUGCCUUGCUAAAAUGCACACAUUGCCCUUUGCUGAUUCUAACACCACGUAUAAUUCUCCUCUAGAAUUAGUGUAUGUUGAUGUAUGGGGACCAGCCCCUGUGACUUCUAGAUCAGGCUUUAAAUAUUACAUCAGUUUUGUGGAUGCUUUCACUCGUUAUACCUGUUUAUAUUUGCUACACUCCAAAGCACAAGUUUUCCAAAUUUUUGUUCAAUAUAAGACCUUGCUUGAAAAACAAACUGGUUCAUCUCUUAAAGCUUUGCAAACUGACAAUGCAAAGGAGAUUCUCUCCAAUGCUUUCCAGAAUUUUUUACAGGAACAUGGCAUCAUGCACAGACUCUCGUGUCCUUGUACUCAUCAACAACAAGGAGUUGUUGAAAGAAAGCAUCGACACAUAGUGGAAAUAGGACUUUACCUCCACAUUUUUGGGAGGAUGCCUUUUUGACAGUAGCAUCCCUCAUUAAUCGCCUUCCCACAGAAGUUCUUGCUAUGAAAACUCCUUAUGAAUUACUACAUCAUAAAAAGCCUGAUUAUAGCAUGCUCCUGUGUUUGGCUAUCCCCUCCCUCUCCCAGCAUCAUCCACUUCUGCAUCACCUCAUAUCACUCAUAAUAAAUAUCCUAUGGUCACACGCUCUAAAGCUGGGAUUUAUAAGCCUAAGGCUUUUUCUGCUGUUGCUCCCGACUUCGAUUUGGUUCAAAAUGUUCCAAGCACAACUAAACAAGCUCUAACUUGCCCUUACAAGAUUCAGGCAAUAAAGGAAGAGUAUGAAGCUCUUCUUCAAAACAACACAUGGACACUUACUCCAUUACUACCAAACUCGACUGUCCUUGGCUGCCGCUGGGUCUAUGCUAUUAAAUGAGCUCCAGAUAAUUCUAUUUUGAUGUGGCCAAGGGCUGUCAUCAAGAGCAUGGUGUGGACUUUGAUGAAAUCUUCAGUCCAGUGAUCAAACCUACAACUAUACGGACUAUUCUCACUAUUGCUUAUCAAAAGGGCGGUGUUUAAGACAAUUUAACUUUAAUAAUGCCUUUUUAAAUGGUGAUUUACAUGAAACUGUGUUUAUGAUUUAACCACCAGAUUUUGAGAAAGCCAACUCAGCUCUUGUCUGUAAGUUAAAUCAAACCAUCUAUGGCUUGAAACAGGCACCCCGAGCCUGGUACACAAAGCUGAGAAUGACUCUUUCAAAGUUUGGUUUCUCUUCUACUCGUGCUGACCCUUCUUUAUUCACUAGAUUUACUAACUCCUCUACUAUUUUUCUCUUAGCAUAUGUUGAUGACAUAGUCAUCACUGGCAGUGAUCCUAAUGAAGUGAAUUCUUUAAUUUCAAGUCUGCAUUCCUUUUUUCUUUAAAAGAUUUAGGUACACUGCAUUACUUUCUUAGUCUUGAAAUCUCCAAGCUAUCUGAUUCAGAACUUCAUAUAUCUCAACAUAAAUAUGUUAGACAUUUUACACAGAGCUAGCGUGUUGCAUUCUAAGCCAAUGCCUACACCUAUGGUUUCUACACUUAAAUUAACAACUACAGGUUCAGACUUGUUUGAGGAUGCAACUCUAUAUCGAUCUAUAGUUGGAGGACUUCAAUAUUCCACUUAAACACAUCCUGAGAUUGCUUUUGCGGUGAAUCAUAUUCAGAUUGGGCUAACGAUCUUGAUGAUAGAAGAUCUACAGGCGAGUAUUGUGUAUUUUUGGGCUCCAAUCCUGUGAUCUGGUCUAGUAGGAAACAAAGUUCUGUGAGCAGAUCAUCCAUCGAAUGGAGGUCCUUCUCCACAGAAGAGGAUCUUGGUUGAUGUCGAAUUUCUGUUGUAAACGGUCCACCAUACAGAGAACCGCUUUUCUUAUUUGAUUCAACAUCUUUUGAGGUAAGAAGAAGACGAUGACGAUGAUGAUGUUUCUACGUGUUACUUGACAACAAACAAUAACUGUGCAUAACGGUUAAAUCUUUCAUCACAAAAAUAGAUAGAAAUUCAAGUGCAA